rnacentral:rRNA from 1 species
UACGUAGGGCGCAAGCGUUAUCCGGAAUUAUUGGGCGUAAAGAGCUCGUAGGCGGUUUGUCGCGUCUGCUGUGAAAGACCGGGGCUCAACUCCGGUUCUGCAGUGGGUACGGGCAGACUAGAGUGCAGUAGGGGAGACUGGAAUUCCUGGUGUAGCGGUGAAAUGCGCAGAUAUCAGGAGGAACACCGAUGGCGAAGGCAGGUCUCUGGGCUGUAACUGACGUGAGGAGCGAAAGCGUGGGGGAGCGAACAGG